rnacentral:rRNA from 1 species
UACGUGGGGUCCAAGCGUUAUCCGGAAUUACUGGGCGUAAAGAGUUGCGUAGGUGGCAGAGUAAGUAGGUAGUGAAAUUGUGUGGCUCAACCAUACACCCAUUAUCUAAACUGCUCAGCUUGAGCAUAGAAGAGGUAGCUGGAAUUUCUAGUGUAGGAGUGAAAUCCGUAGAUAUUAGAAGGAACACCGAUGGCGUAGGCAGGCUACUGGUCUAUUGCUGACACUAAGGCACGAAAGCGUGGGGAGCGAACUGG